rnacentral:rRNA from 1 species
UACAGAGGGUGCAAACGUUGCUCGGAAUUAUUGGGCGUAAAGCGCGUGUAGGCGGCUUGUUAAGUUGGUUGUGAAAACCCAUGGCUCAACCAUGGAAGGGCGUCCAAAACUGGCAAGCUAGAGUCCUGACGAGGAUGGCGGAAUUCCCAGUGUAGAGGUGAAAUUCGUAGAUAUUGGGAGGAACACCGGUGGCGGAGGCGGCUCGCUGGGCCGGUCCUGACGCUCGGGCGCGAAAGCGUGGGGAGCGAUCCGG